AUGGAAACAACAGAUGGCAGAGGAAGAUGAAGCAGUGGUAGGGGACCCAAGGAAGCUUCCCCAUUGUGCUUGGAGGACAGUAGGCUUAUUGGAGGGCUUUGCUAUGCAUGGAGGAAAAAGAUAGACCUUUUCUCAUCAGAACACAAUGUUGUGGAUUCAUCAGCCAUCACCAUGGGCAGCUUUAGAGCAAGAACACAUGCAAACAGCUACUGCAGCUGCCUUCAUGUUGCUUUGUUGGAGUGGAGUGGAGUGCAGUGGAGUGAGAGGACCACUAAAACUCCAUGGUGGAAGGGAAGAAAAGCUAACCAGUCUGAAGCAGAAACUUACUAGCUUUAAAGUACUGUAUGUGCUAAACCCAUUAUAGCCAUGGAAAUGCUUCCUGUGCUCUCAAAUUCUCGGUAUAAUCAUUAAAACAAAGACCUGAUCGAUCCCUACA